rnacentral:lncRNA from 1 species
UAAUCCUUUGAUCUGAGACUACCAUAGAACCUUGUAUACAUGAAUUCAUAUUUUUUGAUUCAUACUCAUUCAUGACUUAAUCAUGUACGGGGUGUUCUAGAUAUGGUAGAAUGUGUAUGGAGGUUGUGAGUAGGUCAACAUGGAAUCGAUCACUCCUGGUAAGAGAAAAUCGCAUCCUACUUGUUCUGAUCGAUUGAUGAUUCAGAAAGUCUUUGAUCAAAGUAGAAUAAAAAUUAAAAAGAGUUUCUAAUAUUUUAUUAAUUGAAUCAUCAUAUAAGAUUGAGAGAAAUAUGAGUAUGAUAUUGGAUUUGACAUCAUUCCAUAUCCAGAGUCAUAUUCGGGGUGCAGGGAGAUCGCAAGAUCAAAUUGCACGGUAACUUUCCACUGA